rnacentral:pre_miRNA from 1 species
ACAAGAUUCGGACCGUCGGUCUACCGAGCAAUAUCACCCGCUCGGUGGAAGAUCUUCCCUUUGUCGU